AGUGAACGCUGGCGGUAGGCCUAACACAUGCAAGUCGAACGGCAGCACAGUAAGAGCUUGCUCUUACGGGUGGCGAGUGGCGGACGGGUGAGGAAUACAUCGGAAUCUACUUUUUCGUGGGGGAUAACGUAGGGAGACUUACGCUAAUACCGCAUACGACCUACGGGUGAAAGCAUGGGAUCUUCGGACCUUGCGCGAUUGAAUGAGCCGAUGUCGGAUUAGCUAGUUGGCGGGGUAAAGGCCCACCAAGGCGACGAUCCGUAGCUGGUCUGAGAGGAUGAUCAGCCACACUGGAACGGAGACACGGUCCAGACUCCUGCGAGAGGCAGCAGUGGGGAAUAUUGGACAAUGGGCGCAAGCCUGAUCCAGCCAUACCGCGUGGGUGAAGAAGGCCUUCGGGUUGUAAAGCCCUUUUGUUGGGAAAGAAAAGCAGCAGGUUAAUACCCCGCUGUUCUGACGGUACCCAAAGAAUAAGCACCGGCUAACUUCGUG
rnacentral:rRNA from 1 species